AAAGUACUCCCUCCGUCCCAAAAUUCUUGUCUUAGAUUUGUCUAGAUACGGAUAUAUCAAGUCACAUUUUAUUAUUAGAUAGAUCUGUAUCUAGACAAAUCUAAGACAAGAAAUUUGGGAUAGAGGGAGUAGUUG
rfam:Triticum aestivum genome assembly, contig: Triticum_aestivum_CS42_TGACv1_scaffold_023892_1AS